GGGUUGUGAGGUUAAGCGACUAAGCGUACACGGUGGAUGCCCUGGCAGUCAGAGGCGAUGAAGGACGUGCCGGGGGAACUGAAACAUCUAAGUACCCCGAGGAAAAGAAAUCAACCGAGAUUCCCCCAGUAGCGGCGAGCGAACGGGGAGGAGCCCAGAGCCUGAAUCAGUGUGUGUGUUAGUGGAAGCGUCUGGAAAGGCGCGCGAUACAGGGUGACAGCCCCGUACACAAAAAUGCACAUAUUGUGAGCUCGAUGAGUAGGGCGGGACACGUGGUAUCCUGUCUGAAUAUGGGGGGACCAUCCUCCAAGGCUAAAUACUCCUGACUGACCGAUAGUGAACCAGUACCGUGAGGGAAAGGCGAAAAGAACCCCGGCGAGGGGAGUGAAAAAGAACCUGAAACCGUGUACGUACAAGCAGUGGGAGCCUCUUUUAUGGGGUGACUGCGUACCUUUUGUAUAAUGGGUCAGCGACUUAUAUUCUGUAGCAAGGUUAACCGAAUAGGGGAGCCGAAGGGAAACCGAGUCUUAACUGGGCGUUAAGUUGCAGGGUAUAGACCCGAAACCCGGUGAUCUAGCCAUGGGCAGGUUGAAGGUUGGGUAACACUAACUGGAGGACCGAACCGACUAAUGUUGAAAAAUUAGCGGAUGACUUGUGGCUGGGGGUGAAAGGCCAAUCAAACCGGGAGAUAGCUGGUUCUCCCCGAAAGCUAUUUAGGUAGCGCCUCGUGAAYUCAUCUCCGGGGGUAGAGCACUGUUUCGGCAAGGGGGUCAUCCCGACUUACCAACCCGAUGCAAACUGCGAAUACCGGAGAAUGUUAUCACGGGAGACACACGGCGGGUGCUAACGUCCGUCGUGAAGAGGGAAACAACCCAGACCGCCAGCUAAGGUCCCAAAGUCAUGGUUAAGUGGGAAACGAUGUGGGAAGGCCCAGACAGCCAGGAUGUUGGCUUAGAAGCAGCCAUCAUUUAAAGAAAGCGUAAUAGCUCACUGGUCGAGUCGGCCUGCGCGGAAGAUGUAACGGGGCUAAACCAUGCACCGAAGCUGCGGCAGCGACACUAUGUGUUGUUGGGUAGGGGAGCGUUCUGUAAGCCUGUGAAGGUGURCUGUGAGGYAUGCUGGAGGUAUCAGAAGUGCGAAUGCUGACAUAAGUAACGAUAAAGCGGGUGAAAAGCCCGCUCGCCGGAAGACCAAGGGUUCCUGUCCAACGUUAAUCGGGGCAGGGUGAGUCGACCCCUAAGGCGAGGCCGAAAGGCGUAGUCGAUGGGAAACAGGUUAAUAUUCCUGUACUUGGUGUUACUGCGAAGGGGGGACGGAGAAGGCUAUGUUGGCCGGGCGACGGUUGUCCCGGUUUAAGCGUGUAGGCUGGUUUUCCAGGCAAAUCCGGAAAAUCAAGGCUGAGGCGUGAUGACGAGGCACUACGGUGCUGAAGCAACAAAUGCCCUGCUUCCAGGAAAAGCCUCUAAGCAUCAGGUAACAUCAAAUCGUACCCCAAACCGACACAGGUGGUCAGGUAGAGAAUACCAAGGCGCUUGAGAGAACUCGGGUGAAGGAACUAGGCAAAAUGGUGCCGUAACUUCGGGAGAAGGCACGCUGAUAUGUAGGUGAAGUCCCUCGCGGAUGGAGCUGAAAUCAGUCGAAGAUACCAGCUGGCUGCAACUGUUUAUUAAAAACACAGCACUGUGCAAACACGAAAGUGGACGUAUACGGUGUGACGCCUGCCCGGUGCCGGAAGGUUAAUUGAUGGGGUUAGCGCAAGCGAAGCUCUUGAUCGAAGCCCCGGUAAACGGCGGCCGUAACUAUAACGGUCCUAAGGUAGCGAAAUUCCUUGUCGGGUAAGUUCCGACCUGCACGAAUGGCGUAAUGAUGGCCAGGCUGUCUCCACCCGAGACUCAGUGAAAUUGAACUCGCUGUGAAGAUGCAGUGUACCCGCGGCAAGACGGAAAGACCCCGUGAACCUUUACUAUAGCUUGACACUGAACAUUGAGCCUUGAUGUGUAGGAUAGGUGGGAGGCUUWGAAGUGUGGACGCCAGUCUGCAUGGAGCCGACCUUGAAAUACCACCCUUUAAUGUUUGAUGUUCUAACGUUGACCCGUGAUCCGGGUUGCGGACAGUGUCUGGUGGGUAGUUUGACUGGGGCGGUCUCCUCCUAAAGAGUAACGGAGGAGCACGAAGGUUGGCUAAUCCUGGUCGGACAUCAGGAGGUUAGUGCAAUGGCAUAAGCCAGCUUGACUGCGAGCGUGACGGYGCGAGCAGGUGCGAAAGCAGGUCAUAGUGAUCCGGUGGUUCUGAAUGGAAGGGCCAUCGCUCAACGGAUAAAAGGUACUCCGGGGAUAACAGGCUGAUACCGCCCAAGAGUUCAUAUCGACGGCGGUGUUUGGCACCUCGAUGUCGGCUCAUCACAUCCUGGGGCUGAAGUAGGUCCCAAGGGUAUGGCUGUUCGCCAUUUAAAGUGGUACGCGAGCUGGGUUUAGAACGUCGUGAGACAGUUCGGUCCCUAUCUGCCGUGGGCGCUGGAGAACUGAGGGGGGCUGCUCCUAGUACGAGAGGACCGGAGUGGACGCAUCACUGGUGUUCGGGUUGUCAUGCCAAUGGCACUGCCCGGUAGCUAAAUGCGGAAGAGAUAAGUGCUGAAAGCAUCUAAGCACGAAACUUGCCCCGAGAUGAGUUCUCCCUGACYCYUURAGRGUCCUGAAGGAACGUUGAAGACGACGACGUUGAUAGGCCGGGUGUGUAAGCGCAGCGAUGCGUUGAGCUAACCGGUACUAAUGAACCGUGAGGCUUAACCUUACAACGCCGAAGCUGUU
rnacentral:rRNA from 1 species